GAAAAAAUGUCUACGUUGGGUCUGCAAGGGAAGCCAACAUCCCCCUUGUUUCUAUACAGGCCCAUACCGUGACCAUUGACUACAGCAAUGAACACCAAAGUCGUGAUGAAGGGCCUGGUCCUUUUCCUGAUCGUCAUCUCGCAAGCGGAGGCAGCCCCGACACAGAAGCCUAGUGUCGCUCCGACAGAAGAAAUCUGGUCAACAACGAACCCUCCUACAGAAUCUGCAGUACAGGCGGUCAGACUGAAGCCUAGGUACAGGUGGCCAACAUCUCCAUUUGAACUCUAGGCAGUCAGACUGAGGUACAACUGCUUUCCUCCGUGGAACCGAGACUGCCAAACCAGUGACUCCAUCAUCUUUAAGAGGAGCCUGAAGAAAACAGAUAUCCUGUUGGGACCAGACGGUCAGUUUUACAGUAGACAGAGUGCAGAGCCAGUGCUGGGAUAGGUGUCGUCCAUGCAGCAAUUCCUGUGGCUUCGCAAGAAUCCCAGAAAUGGAAAGGAUAUCCAAGAAAGGAGGCUACUUAUCAUCACUCCAAACAUCUUCAAGGAAAAUACCCGAAAUACCACCUAUGUUUAGAGCUAGGCCUCCCUUUUCGGAUUACAGGUUAAGAUACGUCUUUCAUAACUAUCUGCCUUGAGAGAAAGAUUCCACAAGUCAGUGACAAGCUCAAGUUAGUACAAUAGCAAUGUUUUUCUUUCCAUAUUCCAUCGCCCACAGCGUUAUAUUUCACACUUUGAGCAUACAGUAUACAAUAUUUUUUAAUACUAUUGUCUCUUUCAACGAAGAGAUUUUGUUGUUUGUAUUU